rnacentral:rRNA from 1 species
GCUCAACCGAAGAAGUGCAUCGGAAACUGGAAAACUUGAGUGCAGAAGAGGACAGUGGAACUCCAUGUGUAGCGGUGAAAUGCGUAGAUAUAUGGAAGAACACCAGUGGCGAAGGCGGCUGUCUGGUCUGUAACUGACGCUGAGGCUCGAAAGUAUGGGUAGCAAACAGGGUUAGAUACCCUGGUAGUCCAUACCGUAAACGAUGAAUGCUAAGUGUUGGAGGGUUUCCGCCCUUCAGUGCUGCAGCUAACGCAUUAAGCAUUCCGCCUGGGGAGUACGGCCGCAAGGCUGAAACUCAAAGGAAUUGACGGGGGCCCGCACAAGCGGUGGAGCAUGUGGUUUAAUUCGAAGCUACGCGAAGAACCUUACCAGGUCUUGACAUACUAUGCAAAUCUAAGAGAUUAGACGUUCCCUUCGGGGACAUGGAUACAGGUGGUGCAUGGUUGUCGUCAGCUCGUGUCGUGAGAUGUUGGGUUAAGUCCCGCAACGAGCGCAACCCUUAUUAUCAGUUGCCAGCAUUAAGUUGGGCACUCUGGUGAGACUGCCGGUGACAAACCGGAGGAAGGUGGGGAUGACGUCAAAUCAUCAUGCCCCUUAUGACCUGGGCUACACACGUGCUACAAUGGAUGGUACAACG